CAAAGGCUUGGUCCUGACUUUACUAUCAGUUUUAGCCUAACUUAUACAUGCAAGUAUCCGCACCCCUGUGAGAAUGCCCUACAGUUCCCUGCUAGGGAACAAGGAGCCGGUAUCAGGCACAUAAACUUAAGCCCACGACACCUUGCUCAUAGCCACACCCCCAAGGGGACCCAGCAGUGAUAAAUAUUAAGCAAUAAGUGAAAACUUGACUUAGCCAAGGCUAAGAGGGCCGGUAAAAGUCGUGCCAGCCACCGCGGUUAUACGAAAGGCCCAAAUUGAUAGAUGUCGGCGUAAAGGGUGGUUACGAUUUAUUUGAAAUAAAGCCAAAUGCCUUCAAAGCUGUAAUACGCACCCGAAGGUAAGAAGCCCAACUACGAAAGUGGCUUUACAAAAUCGGACCCCACGAAAGCUGUGACACAAACUGGGAUUAGAUACCCCACUAUGCCCAGCUGUAAACUAUGAUAAUGAACUACCCCCAUUAUCCGCCCGGGAACUACAAGCGCAAGCUUAAAACCCAAAGGACUUGGCGGUGCUUAAGAUCCACCUAGAGGAGCCUGUUCUAGAACCGAUGACCCCCGUUCAACCUCACCCUUUCUUGUUGUCCCCGCCUAUAUACCACCGUCGUCAGCUUACCCUGUGAAGGCCAAAUAGUAAGCAAAAUUGGCACAACCCAAAACGUCAGGUCGAGGUGUAGCGAAUGAAAGGGGAAGAAAUGGGCUACAUUCCCUAACAAAGUGCAUACGGAUAGUACAUUGAAACAUGUGCUUGAAGGAGGAUUUAGCAGUAAGUGCAAAAUAGAGCGUUGCACUGAAACUGGCCCUAAAGCGCGCACACACCGCCCGUCACUCUCCCCAAACUAAUAAACUAAAUAAUUAAACCCCCAUUAAAAACAAAGGGGAGGCAAGUCGUAACAUGGUAAGUGUACCGGAAGGUGUACUUGGUAAAAAU
rnacentral:ncRNA from 1 species